rnacentral:lncRNA from 1 species
CUGCAGGGGAGCCAGAAGUUGAGAUCAUCACCAAGUCCCUGAUGCAUGAGAGUCUCCAUAAUCUGCAAAAAGACAUUGUGAGGUGGGGGCGUGAGCCUUAUACAGCCUGGUUACUUUGGGUCUGGGACCUUAUGGGUACAGGUGUGCAGCUGGAUGGUGAUGAGGCAAGGACCCUUGACCCAGGACUCAUGUGUGAAUCAGGUAUUCGUCAGGGAGCCAGGGCCCCUUUCCCUCUGGGAGCGGCUUUUGAUGAGUGUAAGAGAGAGGUUUGUCCACAGAGAGAGAAUGGAAGAGCACUAUCAUAGAAGGGACUGGAAAACCAUUGAGGAAGGGAUCCAACAGCUGAGAGAAGUGGCGAUAUUAGAGGUCCUUUUUGGGAGGGGUGGACAGCAUGAUAAUGACCUCGACAAAGUCAGGUGCACUGGGCAGAUGUUGUGGAGUCUGGCAAAUCUAGGGCCACAUGAAUACACCAGCUUCAUUGCAACGAUUAAUGCUGAUAACAACCGAGAGAUGGUGGGUUCUGUUGCCACCAGGCUUAGAAAUUUCAACAGUAUGGUCCAUGGCCCGCUGCAGGCUUGGGUUUCUGUUGUGAUUAAGGAACUCAAAGAGAAGAUGAGGGAAAUAAGGGAAGAGAUGAGGAAGAGCAGCUUCCAUAUGGCACCAGUGCAGGUCACAAGCCCAAAACUCCAAGCCCAGCGUCCCCCAGCUAGAGAGAUAGGGUACACCCCACGAGCUGAGCUGUGGUUCUUUCUACGUGACCAUGGAGAAGACAUGGGAAAAUGGGAUGAGAAACCCACUUCUGCCCUGGCAGCACAAGUGCGUCAACUCAGGCAGGGAACCAUUAACCAGAAAAGCUCCACUAAAGUAAAGGUGGCCUCAACCUCCCAUGACCAAACUGCCAGAUAUUACAGAAAAGAGGAUGAUCCCCUUAAAGGAACCUCUAGCAUGUAUGCCCAGGGAGGAGAGGAUGACCAGUGCUAGAGGGGCCCUGCCUCUAGCCAGGAAGAGGCACGGGAAAACCGGGUCUUUUGGAUGGUGUGGAUCCGAUGGCCUGGCACAUCAGAGCCACAAAAAUACGAAGCUUUAGUUGAUACUGGUGCACAGUGUACCCUAAUGCCAUCAGGACAUGUGGGGGCAGAACCUGUUUCCAUUGCUGGGGUGACGGGGGGAUANNNNNNNNNNNN